AGUGAACGCUGGCGGUAGGCCUAACACAUGCAAGUCGAACGGCAGCACAGUAAGAGCUUGCUCUUACGGGUGGCGAGUGGCGGACGGGUGAGGAAUACAUCGGAAUCUACUUUUUCGUGGGGGAUAACGUAGGGAAACUUACGCUAAUACCUCAUACGACCUACGGGUGAAAGCAGGGGAUCUUCGUACCUUGCGAUAUUUAAUAAGCCGAUGUCGGAUUAGCUAGUUGGCGGGGUAAAGGCCCACCAAGGCGACGAUCCGUAGCUGGUCUGCGAGGAUGAUCAGCCACACUGGAACUGAGACACGGUCCAGACUCCUACGGGAGGCAGCAGUGGGGAAUAUUGGACAAUGGGCGCAAGCCUGAUCCAGCCAUACCGCGUGGGUGAAGAAGGCCUUCGGGUUGUAAAGCCCUUUUGUUGGGAAAGAAAAGCAGCAGGUUAAUACCCCGCUGUUCUGACGGUACCCAAAGAAUAAGCACCGGCUAACUUCGUG
rnacentral:rRNA from 1 species